rnacentral:tRNA from 1 species
GGCGCCAUGGCUUAAAUAAAGCGCCUGUCUAGUAAACAGGAGAUCGUGAGUUCGAAUAUCACCGGAGUGU